UGCCCAGCUGAGAAGGAACAGACAGGGCUAGGAUAAAAAUAGGAUGUUGGCAGUAGAAAGGGUUAUGUGGAAAGUAGUUUGCAGUCACUCCCUAGGAGAAGGGAGGUGUGUUUGGGAUCUACAGUGCUAAGUAGCCUGCAGGUGCACCCUGUGAGGAGGGAGUUUGAGCUGGUAAACCCAGGGGAGAGCCAGAAGGUAGGGCUGAUAAGUAAGAAGGAGUCCAGUGAAAGCACAGCAGGGUCUGAGGGAAAACAGGCAACAGUUGCAGAUAUAAAUCCCUGGAUUAGAACCUGGAGUAGUGGGCGGGCCCAGGUUCCCCUCCCAGCCACUGGGGAAGUGGCACAGAUCAGGCAGUGGAGCAUAGACUGCCUAGGACAGUUGUCCAGAGAGACUUUGUUACCCUGAAAGAGGAGGACGAUAGUGACCUGGCUGGAGGGCUGAAUCAUGAAGGAGCACCCUGAGUCAGAGAGAGAGCAAGGAACUGACAGGAGAGGAUGUCACACCUGGAACCAGCUAAUCCCCAGAGCAACCAGAAGGAGGUGUUCCAAUGCACAGGUGACCAUGGAGUCCCAGAAUGGCAAAACAGCUCCAGCAUGGACCGAAUGGGAGGUGCCUCCGAUCAACCUAACUGAGGUCGGCCCGGAGCACCCUCGGGACGAUGAUGAUGGCUAGCAGUCGUAUUGUACCAUCUGCUGUCGGCAAGGCAAGGCGAUGCUGCUGUGUAGCACUGCAGUACCAUGUCUGCCAGCAGCACCCAGGAGACAGAC